rnacentral:sRNA from 1 species
UUCAUUUUCAUUUUCAUUUAAUUUAAUUAUUGCUUAACUUAAAAAUGGUAAAAUUGAAAUUUACUCGUUUCAACCCAUGGCAUAUGGUAAUAGCGGUGGGAGGGGUGAAAAGUUUCUUUCAUUCUGGGUUAUCUAUUGCCAGAGUGUGGCUGUGGUAUGGCAUGGCAUGGUUGCUUAUGACAUAAAUGUGUCCCAAAGGAUGGAUAGACCGAUGGGCUGCUGGCAGGAGAGUGUAUUUGCUGGGAGGUGGUUGAGUGGUUGGUUGGUUGGCUGGCUGGCUUGGCAGCCAACUUACAAAAUGGGAUGCGAUUGUUAUUCGACUAACUGAAUAAAUACAUGCAAAUAAUAAUAUUAA